GGGGGGGGGGGGGGGGGGGGGGGGGGGGGGGGGGGGGGGGGGGGGGGGGGGGGGCUUGCUCCUCUGGCGGUGGCGGCGAGCGGGGGAGUAACACGUGGAUAACCUACCUAUAAGGCUGGGAUAACUUCGGGAAACCGGAGCUCAUACCGGAUCAUAUAUUGGACCGCAUGGUUCCAUAGUGAAAGACGGUUUUGCUGUCACUUAUAGAUGGAUCCGCGCCGCAUUAGCUAGUUGGUAAGGUAACGGCUUACCAAGGCAACGAUGCGUAGCCGACCUGAGAGGGUGAUCGGCCACACUGGAACUGAGACACGGUCCAGACUCCUACGGGAGGCAGCAGUAGGGAAUCUUCCGCAAUGGGCGAAAGCCUGACGGAGCAACGCCGCGUGAGUGAUGAAGGUCUUCGGAUCGUAAAACUCUGUUAUUAGGGAAGAACAAAUGUGUAAGUAACUAUGCACGUCUUGACGGUACCUAAUCAGAAAGCCACGGCUAACUACGUG
rnacentral:rRNA from 1 species